UUCGAGAAAUCGAAAUUAAUUCCUUAUAGUAUUUACUUUCGCAUGAAAUAUAAAUUAAAGAAUUUCGGAUAAAGAUGGGCAUGCGUGAUAUUAGCUAGUUGGAGAGGUAACGGCUCACCAAGGCUACGAUAUCUAGGGGUUCUGAGAGGAUGAUCCCCCACACUGGUACUGAGACACGGACCAGACUCCUACGGGAGGCAGCAGUGAGGAAUAUUGCGCAAUGGACGAAAGUCUGACGCAGCCAUGCCGCGUGCAGGAUUGAAGGCCCUACGGUUGUAAACUGCUUUUAUAUGGGAAGAAACCUUUGGAUUUAUCCAGAGCUGACGGUACCAUACGAAUAAGAACCGGCUAACUCCGUGCCAGCAGCCGCGGUAAUACGGAGGGUUCAAGCGUUAUCCGGAUUUAUUGGGUUUAAAGGG
rnacentral:rRNA from 1 species